rnacentral:rRNA from 1 species
UACGUGGGGUCCGAGCGUUGUCCGGAAUUACUGGGCGUAAAGAGCUCGUAGGUGGUUUGUCGCGUUGUUCGUGAAAACUCACAACUCAAUUGUGGGCGUGCGGGCGAUACGGGCAGACUGGAGUACUGCAGGGGAGACUGGAAUUCCUGGUGUAGCGGUGAAAUGCGCAGAUAUCAGGAGGAACACCGGUGGCGAAGGCGGGUCUCUGGGCCGAUACUGACGCUGAGGAGCGAAAGCGUGGGGAGCGAACAGG